rnacentral:tRNA from 1 species
GCCCGCCUGGCGGAAUGGUAGACGCAGCGGACUUAAAAUCCGCAGUUCGAAAGGACGUGCCGGUUCGAGUCCGGCGGUGGGCACCA